UUUUUGUUGUUGCUGGUUGUUGCUUAUACAAAAUGGCGUUCCAUUGACGAGUGGUGUUUUAUUACUCACGAAAAGUGUAUAAUAUAUUUAAUUUUGGUGAAUUUAUGACAUUAUAAAUAUAAAACUGCAACAAUUUAUUCAACAUGGGUUCUUCGGAUAUGGAAAAUACAGACAUGAAAAAGGAUGUCAUGGAAGUGAAUUCUGACUUGGAGAUAUUUAACGACCAGAAGAAAAAAAAGAAAAGAAAACAUAAGCAUCACAAACAUAAAAGGGACAAAAUUUUGGAAAAAGAAGACGUAAAGAUUGAUAAACAAGAUAGAAAGAAACACAGAAAACACAGACGUUCUAGAAAGACAAAAGAAGAGGAAAAUGGAAUUACAGAAAUGAAAAUAGUAAACCAACAAGUAGGUACAAAAUUUUCCAAUGUAAAUGGAAAAGAAGAAGCAUGUUUAGAAGUAUUAACAACCGAAGAAAGUGAUGAAGAAAAACUCGUUGAUUUGGAUUCAGAUGAAGUUGAUUGCACAAUUAUUGAAGAUGAUAUCGAUUUAGAAGAAUUAAUGAAACAAAAGGAACGACUUCAAGCUUGUUUAGUACAAUAUCUAUCCGAUGAAUCGGAUAAGGGGAAAAUUGUAGAUACACCGGAUGUAAUACUUGUAGAGGAUGAUAGUGCUGAUGAAAGUAUAUCGAAAAAACGUCAUAGAAGUAGAUCAGAUAGUAGAGAACGUAAAAGAAUGUUAAAGACUGAAAGGCGUGUUAUAGUCGAUAUGACGAGAGAUAGAAGAAGUAGAGAAGAUUUUAAAGAUAAAAGGCGAGAUAUUGAGAGAAAAAGAGAUGAGAAAUCACGAAUUAGAGACGAUGUGAAGAAAGAUGAUGUACGAAAAGAUGAUAAAAUACGUAAAAUAACUGAUAAAUCGAAAGAUGAGAGAAAAGAUGAUUUAAGAAAACGUAUCGAUGACGAUAGACGUAAGGAGAAUUUAAAGAAAGAAGAAUUGCGUAAAAGAGAAUUUGACAGAAGGGAAGAUGAUAGAAAAAGAGAAGAUCAUCAUAAUUUUAAAUCUAGACUUGAUUCAAAAUCUAGAGAUUCAAGAGAUGAUUCAAGGCAUCGAAAUAUUAAGCGUGAUGAACGUCCAAGAACGACAAGUAAAGAUUGUGAUAAAAGAGAAAGUAGAGAUAAAUUUAUUGGUCGUGAUCGACACAGUAGAGAACGAUAUUUAGGACGUGAGAGAGGUGGUAGUCGUGAUAGAGCCGAAAAUCGACGAGACAUUAGAAAUCAUGACCGAAUAAGAGAUCGUUCAAGAAGUACAAGAAGAUCUCGUAGUCCAAUUAGAGGUCGAUCUGAUCGUGAUCGCAAUGAUCGAUACAGAAGAUCAAGAUCCACAUCUAGAGGACGUAAAGAUAAGGAUCGUUACAGUAAAGAUCAUGAUCGUGAUAGAGAUAGAAAUGGAAAAAAAGAACGUAGCGAUAAAUAUAAAGAUUCACUAUCAGAGGGACUUAAAGUUGAGCGAUCAGAAAGUUCAAGUGAAGAAGAAAUUAAAGAUAUUGAUAUUGAGGAAGAAGAAGAUGAGGAAAUUAUCAUUGAGAGAAGAAGAAAGCAAAGGGAAGAAUUAUUAAAGAGACUAGGCGGACCAAAUGAAGAUUCUAAUCUUUCUACUGAUAUGAACACAACGACAGUGACACCAAGAUCAGAAGUUCAGUCUAAUAUGUCGCCAAAAUCUGUUGAUGUUACUUCUAAUAAUAACGGUUCUACCUCAGAAAGUCAUACGCCACCAUUGCCACAAAAAGUGAAAUCUCCCGAAAAUGUGAAGAAACGAAAAUCAAGAUUUGAAAGUGUUGAAAAUAGACAAGAGGAAAGUGUUGCAAAAACUAAAACUGACGAUAAACAAAAUUCUAAAAAAUCUAACGAAUGGGAUAUGUUUGCCGAAGUGGAUAAUAUUGGUGACUUUAAUAGUCCAACUGUUGAAGGAAAACGUCAUGGUGGUCCAGAUAAUCCAAGUCUUACGGAUAAUUGGGAUGAUGCUGAAGGUUAUUAUAGGGUUCGUGUUGGUGAAUCUUUAGACUCUCGUUACGUUGUUUAUGGAUAUACAGGUCAAGGAGUAUUUAGUAACGUCGUAAGAGCAAGAGACAAUGCUAGAGGAGGUCUUGACGUUGCAGUAAAAAUUAUUAGAAACAAUGAAAUAAUGCAUAGAACGGGUUUGAAAGAAUUGGAAAUUCUAAGGAAACUCAAUGAUGCUGAUCCUGAAGAUCGAUUCCAUUGUUUACGCUUAUUCAGACACUUCUUCCACAAAAACCAUUUGUGUAUGGUUUUUGAACCAUUAGCUAUGAAUUUAAGAGAGGUAUUAAAAAAAUAUGGUAAGGAUGUAGGUCUACAUGUUAAAGCGGUAAGGUCUUACACUCAGCAGUUGUUUUUAGCAUUGAAAUUGUUAAAACGGGCAAAUAUAUUGCAUGCCGAUAUCAAACCAGAUAAUAUUCUAGUCAGUGAAAGCAAAUUAGUGUUGAAAUUAUGUGACUUUGGUUCAGCAUCACAUGCACAUGAAAAUGAAAUAACACCAUACCUUGUAUCAAGAUUUUAUCGUGCUCCCGAAAUUAUUCUUGGCAUACCAUAUGAUUUUGGUAUUGAUAUGUGGUCAGUGGGUUGUACUAUUUAUGAAUUGUACACUGGAAAAAUAAUGUUUUCGGGAAAAACAAAUAAUCAAAUGUUAAAAUUUUUUAUGGACCUUAAGGGAAAAAUGCCUAAUAAAGUAAUUAGAAAAGGUUCAUUCAAGGAUCAACAUUUUGACACCAACUGCAAUUUCCUCUAUCAUGAAGUUGAUAAAGUUACUGAGCGGGAAAAGAUUGUAAUAAUGUCCACAUUACCAGCUUCGCGUGAUCUCAAUACAGAAUUAGGUGGAAAUUCAUUGCCAUCAGAACAGAGUCGAAAGGUAUCACAGCUUAAAGAUCUAUUGGAACGGACACUAAUGUUAGAUGCUGGGAAGAGAAUUACAGUGAAUCAUGCUUUGGCUCAUCCUUUUAUACAAGAAAAGAUCUAGAUGUGUCAUCGUUUCAAAAUUCAGCGAUAAGUGAUGGGUGGACUUUAAAACAAUGGCCCUUUUAGCACUGUUCCGGUUGCAAGGUUACAUGUUACUUUUUCACUCGACGUUAUAAUAUGCUAAUGCUCCUUUGUCCAUUGUUUAUUUUAAAGUGUAGAAUUAUUUUAUAUAUUAAUUAAUUUUCUACUGAAAAAAGUAUUUGAUUUAAAAAAUUAUUUCGUAAUUAAUAAGGUUCAAAUGACGGCAAUAAAGAAAUAAAUUUUUUUUUUAAUAACCAUUUUAAUUUUAGUUAAUCACAAAAAAAGGAAAAUACAAAAUAUUAAGUUCUUGUUUAAAUUAAAAAAUUAAAAUUCAAAAUAAUAAUUUGGAUUUUUAAACAGAAAAUAAUAAAGAACAAACACUGUCGAAAUUGAUGUCAUUAUUCUAAUUGACAAUUUUGGUAAUGUUUCACUUGUAGUCCUCUUUGUGAGGAGGUGAGGCAGUUGGAAGAGAUGAUGAUGAUGAUGGAUUCAAUCUGAAGUCAACAUCUACAACUUUGAAGUCAUCAGUCUAAUUCAGCUUCAAAUCAACAGAGAUUCAAUAAACUAAAUUGAUGACUCGUCUAAGGUUUUAUAAUCAAAGUUUGGCACUUUAAACAGUAAAUAUGGAAGAAUCAUAACUAGAAACAAAUAAUGGAGAAGAAGACAAUUCAAUUGUUUUAUAUUGAAUAAUAGAUGAAUAGAAAGUGUUCAAAUAAGUGAAUGUAACUUAUAUGAAAAACAAAUUUUUUAAAGUAAAAUUGAGAAUAAUUGAUAAUAAGGCGAAUUAAAAUUUAUAUAACAUUUAUUAUAGACUAUAUAUGGAACAAUUUGUUAAUAAUGUUCAUUUAAUUUUAUUUGGAUUAAAAAAUCCAUUAUCUUGUACAAUUUUUCUUUAAGAAUGGAAUCUUCUGUGGAAUAUUUAUUGUGUAUAUAAAUUCAAUUUUUUUUCAACAUA